AUUGAACGCUGGCGGCAUGCUUUACACAUGCAAGUCGAACGGUAACAGGUUAAGCUGACGAGUGGCGAACGGGUGAGUAAUGCAUCGGAACGUGCCCGAUCGUGGGGGAUAACGCAGCGAAAGCUGCGCUAAUACCGCAUACGAUCUGAGGAUGAAAGCGGGGGACCGUAAGGCCUCGCGCGAUCGGAGCGGCCGAUGUCAGAUUAGGUAGUUGGUGGGGUAAAGGCCCACCAAGCCGACGAUCUGUAGCUGGUCUGAGAGGACGACCAGCCACACUGGGACUGAGACACGGCCCAGACUCCGACGGGAGGCAGCAGUGGGGAAUUUUGGACAAUGGGGGAAAGCCUGAUCCAGCAAUGCCGCGUGCAGGAAGAAGGCCUUCGGGUUGUAAACUGCUUUUGUACGGAGCGAAAAGGUCCUUUCUAAUACAAGGGGCUCAUGACCGUACCGUAAGAAUAAGCACCGGCUAACUACGUGCCAGCCGCCGCCGUAA
rnacentral:rRNA from 1 species